AUUGAACGCUGGCGGCAGGCCUAACACAUGCAAGUCGAACGAGUGGCGGACGGGUGAGUAAUGUCUUGGAAACUGCCCGACGGAGGGGGAUAACUACUGGAAACGGUAGCUAAUACCGCAUACCAUCGGAUGUGCCCAGCUGGGAUUAGCUAGUAGGUGGGGUAACGGCUCACCUAGGCGACGCUGCCUAGCUGGUCUGAGAGGAUGACCAGCAAAACUGGAACUGAGACAAGGUCCAGACUCCUACGGUAGGCAGCAGUGGGGAAUAUUAGACAAUGGAGGAAAGCCUGAUGCAGCCAUGGCGCGUGUAUGAAGAAGGCCUUCGGGUUGUAAAGUACUUUCAGCGGGGAAGCGGUACCCGCAGAAGAAGCACCGGCUAACUCCGUGCCAGCCGCCGCGGUAAUUC
rnacentral:rRNA from 1 species